rnacentral:rRNA from 1 species
UACGUAGGUGGCAAGCGUUGUCCGGAUUUACUGGGUGUAAAGGGCGUGUAGCCGGGCUGACAAGUCAGAUGCGAAACCCGGGGGCUCAACCCCCGAACUGCAUUUGAAACUGUUGGUCUUGAGUAUCGGAGAGGCAGGCGGAAUUCCUAGUGUAGCGGUGAAAUGCGUAGAUAUUAGGAGGAACACCAGUGGCGAAGGCGGCCUGCUGGACGACAACUGACGGUGAGGCGCGAAAGCGUGGGGAGCAAACAGG